rnacentral:rRNA from 1 species
AAUGAGCCUGCGAGUUGUGGUGUCUGGCAAGGUUAAGCAAACGCGAAGCCGUAGCGAAAGCGAGUCUGAAUAGGGCGCUUAGUCAGAUGCUGCAGACCCGAAACGAAGUGAUCUAUCCAUGAGCAAGUUGAAGCUAGUGUAAGAACUAGUGGAGGACUGAACCCAUAGGCGUUGAAAAGCCCCGGGAUGACUUGUGGAUAGGGGUGAAAGGCCAAUCAAACUUCGUGAUAGCUGGUUCUCUCCGAAAUAUAUUUAGGUAUAGCGUUGUGUCGUAAUAUAAGGGGGUAGAGCACUGAAUGGGCUAGGGCAUACACCAAUGUACCAAACCCUAUCAAACUCCGAAUACCUUAUAUGUAAUCACAGCAGUCAGGCGGCGAGUGAUAAAAUCCGUCGUCAAGAGGGAAACAACCCAGACUACCAGCUAAGGUCCCUAAAUCUUACUUAAGUGGAAAACGAUGUGAAGUUACUUAAACAACCAGGAGGUUGGCUUAGAAGCAGCCAUCCUUUAAAGAAAGCGUAAUAGCUCACUGGUCUAGUGAUUUUGCGCGGAAAAUAUAACGGGGCUAAAGUAAGUACCGAAGCUGUAGACUUAGUUUACUAAGUGGUAGGAGAGCGUUCUAUUUGCGUCGAAGGUAUACCGGUAAGGAGUGCUGGAGCGAAUAGAAGUGAGCAUGCAGGCAUGAGUAGCGAUAAUUAAUGUGAGAAUCAUUAACGCCGUAAACCCAAGGUUUCCUACGCGAUGCUCGUCAUCGUAGGGUUAGUCGGGUCCUAAGUCGAGUCCGAAAGGGGUAGACGAUGGCAAAUUGGUUAAUAUUCCAAUACCAACAUUAGUGUGCGAUGGAAGGACGCUUAGGGCUAAGGGGGCUAGCGGAUGGAAGUGCUAGUCUAAGGUCGUAGGAGGUUAUACAGGCAAAUCCGUAUAACAAUACUCCGAGAACUGAAAGGCUUUUUGAAGUCUUCGGAUGGAUAGAAGAACCCCUGAUGCCAUCGAGCCAAGAAAAGUUUCUAAGUUUAGCUAAUGUUGCCCGUACCGUAAACCGACACAGGUGGGUGGGAUGAGUAUUCUAAGGCGCGUGGAAGAACUCUCUUUAAGGAACUCUGCAAAAUAGCACCGUAUCUUCGGUAUAAGGUGUGGUUCGCUUCGUAUUAGGAUUUACUCCGAAAGCGAAGAAACUUACAACAAAGAGUCCCUCCCGACUGUUUACCAAAAACACAGCACUCUGCUAACUCGUAAGAGGAUGUAUAGGGUGUGACGCCUGCCCGGUGCUCGAAGGUUAAUUGAUGGGGUUAGCAUUAGCGAAGCUCUUGAUCGAAGCCCGAGUAAACGGCGGCCGUAACUAUAACGGUCCUAAGGUAGCGAAAUUCCUUGUCGGUUAAAUACCGACCUGCAUGAAUGGCGUAACGAGAUGGGAGCUGUCUCAAAGAGGGAUCCAGUGAAAUUGUAGUGGAGGUGAAAAUUCCUCCUACCCGCGGCAAGACGGAAAGACCCCGUGGACCUUUACUACAGCUUGACACUGCUAUUUGGAUAAGAAUGUGCAGGAUAGGUGGGAGGCUUUGAGUAUAUGACGCCAGUUGUAUAUGAGCCAUUGUUGAGAUACCACUCUUUCUUAUUUGGGUAGCUAACCAGCUUGAGUUAUCCUCAAGUGGGACAAUGUCUGGUGGGUAGUUUGACUGGGGCGGUCGCCUCCCAAAUAAUAACGGAGGCUUACAAAGGUUGGCUCAGAACGGUUGGAAAUCGUUCGUAGAGUAUAAAGGUAUAAGCCAGCUUAACUGCAAGACAUACAAGUCAAGCAGAGACGAAAGUCGGUCUUAGUGAUCCGGUGGUUCUGUGUGGAAGGGCCAUCGCUCAAAGGAUAAAAGGUACCCCGGGGAUAACAGGCUGAUCUCCCCCAAGAGCUCACAUCGACGGGGAGGUUUGGCACCUCGAUGUCGGCUCAUCGCAUCCUGGGGCUGGAGCAGGUCCCAAGGGUAUGGCUGUUCGCCAUUUAAAGCGGUACGCGAGCUGGGUUCAGAACGUCGUGAGACAGUUCGGUCCCUAUCUGCCGUGGGCGUAAGAAGAUUGAAGAGAUUUGACCCUAGUACGAGAGGACCGGGUUGAACAAACCACUGGUGUAGCUGUUGUUCUGCCAAGAGCAUCGCAGCGUAGCUAAGUUUGGAAAGGAUAAACGCUGAAAGCAUCUAAGCGUGAAGCCAACUCUAAGAUGAAUCUUCUCUAAGCUCUCUAGAAGACUACUAGUUUGAUAGGCUGGGUGUGUAAUGGAUGAAAGUCCUUUAGCUGACCAGUACUAAUAGAGCGUUUGGCUUAUCUUUAAUAAAGCAU